UACGGAGGGUGCAAGCGUUGUCCGGAUUCAUUGGGUUUAAAGGGUGCGCAGGCGGGACAUUAAGUCAGGGGUGAAAGACGGCUGCUCAACAAUCGCAGUGCCUUUGAUACUGGUGUUCUUGGGUGACCUUGAGGUAGGCGGAAUGGGUGGUGUAGCGGUGAAAUGCAUAGAUACCACCCAGAACUCCGAUUGCGAAGGCAGCCUACUGGAGGUUUACCGACGCUCAGGCACGAAAGCGUGGGGAUCAAACAGG
rnacentral:rRNA from 1 species